GGAGGGGUGCCGGAGUGGUUGAACGGGGCGGUCUCGAAAACCGUUGGCCGUCGUAAGGCGGCUCGUGGGUUCGAAUCCCACCCCCUCCG
rnacentral:tRNA from 1 species